rnacentral:lncRNA from 1 species
UAAACUGUAAACAGCAAUAAUGUUCAGCAAAGUAAAAUUUACAAAUAAGUCAACAUGACCGAAAUGGUCAGUUGACCCCUUUAGGAGUUAUUGCCCUUUAUAGUCAAUUUUUAACCAUUUUUCGUAAAUCUUAGUAAUCUUGUAGAAAAAUCUUCUCCUCUGAAACUACUGGGCCAAAUUUAACCAAACUUGGCCAUAAUCAUCAUUGGGGUAUCUAGUUUAAAAAAAUGUGUCCGGUGAUCUGGCCAACCAACCAAGAUGGCCGCCAUGGCUAAAAAUAGAACAUAAGGG